rnacentral:rRNA from 1 species
UACGAAGGGUGCAAGCGUUACUCGGAAUUACUGGGCGUAAAGCGUGCGUAGGUGGUGAGUUAAGUCUGAUGUGAAAUCCCCGGGCUCAACCUGGGAAUGGCAUUGGAUACUGGCUCGCUCGAGUGCGGUAGAGGGUGGUGGAAUUCCCGGUGUAGCAGUGAAAUGCGUAGAGAUCGGGAGGAACAUCUGUGGCGAAGGCGGCCACCUGGACCAGCACUGACACUGAGGCGCGAAAGCUAGGGGAGCAAACAGGAGU